GGGGCUGAGAGAGUUUUAAAAGGUUUUUUUUUUGUUUUUUUUUAAAAUGUUUUAAAAUGAAGUUUUUGAAAGAAUGGGGGCUUUUAUACGGUACCAAAAUGGUACCGUUUUUGGAGGGCCUCCAGACGCCCAAAACGACGUCGUUUCAGGGAGGCCGACCCGAAUCCGACCCGACCCGACCUAGGAUCCGCGUGAUUUUGAGCGGAGGGGUAAAUUGCG
rnacentral:lncRNA from 1 species